AGGGAGGACAGAUGCAGGCCUGGGGAACACCUGGGGAGCACCUGGCCUGACCGGGCUCCUGGGAUGGCUGUCUGGAGGAGGCGGCCCACGCUGGGUCCUCAGCGAACCCUCGGCCGCCCCUGCCCCCUGCCUCUUGGCAGGCCAGGCGGCAUUUAAGCAGAAACCCUGAUGAAAAUUCAGCUCCCUCCCUGCGGCUCGUGAUACAAAGUAGUGCCAAACGAGGUCUAGCGAGUCAACACUGCUCCCCACACGCCCAGCGCUCGCUGUCCCGGGGGCUCUCGGGCCCCUCCCAGCCGCCGCCCUCAGCCCCGACCCUGAGGUCACUGAUCCUCCCCUGCCCGCCUGGCCCCACCCCGAUAUUAAAGUCACACUUCAAACUGUCACUCUGUUUUUAAUUUUUACUCAGUCUGCGUCCGGAUAAACCAGGAUUUGACCAAGCUCCCAGCUCUCUCCGCUCCAACCACGUAGCAAUUUUAUGGAUCAGAGUUUUGUUUCUAUUUGUCUAAAGCCCAGAGGAAGAAAGAAAUCAAGUCCACAGAUGAAAAUGUAUUUGAAGAGACAUUUCAGGACUUGGGAGACUUUUUCAUCCAUCAGUUUCUUAGGAACAGCACCCAACAGGCCCGGGGGAGGCCUGCACAGCAGGUGCACAGGCCCCGCGUCUGAGCACAUCCGGCCAUCCCCAAAGUCACCGGACUCACCCGACGCACCGUCUGCGCGCCAGUCCGUGGACAGACGCUCAUCACGCUUCACCAAAGGACGGCCGCUUCUGGACAGGCUUCCACAAAGCAGAGUCCACCCUCGUCUUUUCCUAACUCCCUCGCUGGGACUGCUGCGCCCGCUCUGAGUACAGUGUCGGGUCAAGGAGGUUGCCCCAACCCCCCCUGGAGCCUUCCCCAGGGGCCUCCCGCGGGAAGCACAGCCCCCAGACGGAGCCUGCGUCGAGCACGGCAGACCUCGGGGCGAAUCGGUGAGGGACAUGCUGACAGAGGAGGCAGGCAGCGCCCACAGCACAAGUCACGGGAUUGCUCCGCAGCAGGGACACACUGGACACCUUCUCCAGGACCGCCCGGGCCCCCUGCUACCCUCCACUGUCGUGAAAACCGCCGCCAGCCUACCAGCCGCAGAGUCGAGUCCGCGAUGGAUGAUGUGAGUCACGGCCCCCGAAGCUGGAACCCCCCAGCGCCCCGGAGCUCUGUCCCCCUGAGGCCUCACCCCAGGGCGCACAGUUCACAUCCCCGAGGGGCAGGAAGAUGGUCGGACCUCUGCUGGUCAGGCAUCUUCUUCCAUCAGAGGGAUCUCUGUAAAAGGAGAGCCCGUUACCAGCUUAGCUGCAGGGAUGUGGGAACAAAAACUUUGUUAAAGUAUCUGUAAUUCCCGGUGUCAGAAGAAAACGCCAAGUUCCACGUAAACUGACCACAUAAAGCACUCAUUACAGCGUCUUUGCUGGAAAAUCUCACACCAGUUCACGCAAAAUAAAGUGCCGAGACCU